rnacentral:lncRNA from 1 species
GAAAACUAGAUACUGCUAAUUUAUUGAAAUGUGAAUAACGUUAUAGUUUAGCUAUAUAUUAAUAGUUUAUAUAAAUAUAAAUGAAAUUAAAAUAAAAAGUAUAUAGUAAUAGUUUAUCAAAAUAUAAAUAAAAUUGAAAUGUAUAGCUAAUAUUUUAAAAAAUAUAAAAAGUACAUAUAUAUAGUUUAAAUAUUACAACGAAAGACAUUUUAUUAGUAUGUUUUAAUAAUAAAGCAAAAAAGAGAAAAAAUUUACUAAGGUAAAAUUCCUAUAUAUAUAGUGAAUAUAACAUAUUUAAAUAUAGUAAAUAAUUUAGGAAGAAAUAUUGAAUAUAUAUAUAUAUAUAUAUAUAUAUAUAUAUAUAUAUGUGCUAUUACAAAGAAAAAAUGGAUAAUACAUUUAUUAGAGAUUCUGAUAAUUUUCAAAGUAAAAAAAAACAAUACCAGGAUAUUUACUUGCCAGAGAAAAUUACGAUAGAUGUUAAUGAUGGGAGCUUUCACAAGGGUUAUCAAAAUUACUUAAAAAAUAUGAACAAAUUGUUAAUACUAUCAUAUCAUGAUGCUUUCGAAACUUGUAAUAAAAGAAAUUUGGAUAAGAUUUUAUGUAAUUAUGGAUUAAAUGAUCUUACAAAAGAAUUCAACAAAAAAUUGGAUUGUGCACACAAUUUUAAAUUCGAGCUAAUUGAGAAUUAUCAAAUGACAGGAGAGGAUAAAUAUAUGGUAACCAACAUUGUAUAUAAUUUUAAAUAAGUUAAGGGUGCU